CUCCACCUCAGAGGAGUCCGUGUGGCUGGCAACACGAGCCUUUGUAAGGAUUUCUGGGUCCCUGCUUCCCUUCAUCAAGACAACUUAUGGUCCAAGACCAACUGCCACCUGUUAAUUCUUGCAAGGAUUCUAUCUCAGAUUCAGACCAUGCAAAUCGUCCAGAUGACUCCCCAGUACAACUGACAGAUUCACAUGAUGAGGAUCCACUGUGACUACAGAUAACCGCUCCUGACUGGAGAGUGACUGACAGGCAUGAAGUGGAGUGCUUCCCUAUAGAGGGAUUAAGCCCCUGAGCAUGGACACCUCUACUGCUUCCCUCGCUGGAUCGUUCCUGCAUUUGAAAGCCAGCACACUGACAUCUCUGAUAGGGUGUGUAUCUUAGGGUUUCUAUCGCUGUGAAAAGAAACCAUAACAUCAACUCUUAUUAAAGAAAACAUCUGUACUGGCUGGUUUUUUGUGUCAACUUGACACAAGCUGGAGUUACCACAUAGAAAGGAGCCUCCCUUGAGGAAAUGCCUCCA
rnacentral:lncRNA from 1 species